rnacentral:rRNA from 1 species
UGGGGAAUUUUGGACAAUGGACGCAAGCCUGAUCCAGCCAUGCCGCGUGCGGGAAGAAGGCCUUCGGGUUGUAAACCGCUUUUGUCAGGGAAGAAAUCUUCUGAGUUAAUACCUCGGGAGGAUGACGGUACCUGAAGAAUAAGCACCGGCUAACUACGUGCCAGCAGCCGCGGUAAUACGUAGGGUGCAAGCGUUAAUCGGAAUUACUGGGCGUAAAGCGUGCGCAGGCGGUUUUGUAAGACAGAGGUGAAAUCCCCGGGCUCAACCUGGGAACUGCCUUUGUGACUGCAAGGCUUGAGUGCGGCAGAGGGGGAUGGAAUUCCGCGUGUAGCAGUGAAAAUGCGUAGAUAUGCGGAGGAACACCGAUGGCGAAGGCAAUCCCCUGGGCCUGCACUGACGCUCAUGCACGAAAGCGUGGGGAGCAAACAGGAUUAGAAUACCCUGGUAGUCCACGCCCUAAACGAUGUCAACUGGUUGUUGGGAAGGUUCCUUCUCAGUAACGUAGCUAACGCGUGAAGUUGACCGCCUGGGGAGUACGGCCGCAACGGUU